AGGGCACCACCAGGAGUGGAGCCUGCGGCUUAAUUUGACUCAACACGGGGAAACUUACCCGGCCUGGACACUGGAAGGAUUGACAGAUUGAGAGCUCUUUCUUGAUUCAGUGGGUGGUGGUGCAUGGCCGUUCUUAGUUGGUGGAGCGAUUUGUCUGGUUAAUUCCGAUAACGAACGAGACUCUAGCCUAUUAAAUAGGCUCUCGGCUUUUAAACGCCGGGAGGACUUCUUAGAGGGACAGGUGGCGGUUCAGCCGCACGAAAGAGAGCAAUAACAGGUCUGUGAUGCCCUUUGUUGUCCGGGGCCGCACGCGCGCUACACUGAAGAGAUCAGCGUGCUUUACGUUCCUGCUCCGACCGGAGUGGGGAACCCAGUGAACCUCCUUCGUGAUUGGGAUAGAAGAUUGUAAUUAUUCUUCUUGAACGAGGAAUUCCCAGUAAAUGCGAGUCAUAAGCUCGCGUUGAUUACGUCCCUGCCCUUUGUACACACCGCCCGUCGCUACUACCGAUUGAACGAUUU
rnacentral:rRNA from 1 species